rnacentral:rRNA from 1 species
CAUGGCUCAGAUUGAACGCUGGCGGCAGGCCUAACACAUGCAAGUCGAACGGUAACAGGAAGAAGCUUGCUUCUUUGCUGACGAGUGGCGGACGGGUGAGUAAUGUCUGGGAAACUGCCUGAUGGAGGGGGAUAACUACUGGAAACGGUAGCUAAUACCGCAUAACGUCGCAAGACCAAAGAGGGGGACCUUCGGGCCUCUUGCCAUCGGAUGUGCCCAGAUGGGAUUAGCUAGUAGGUGGGGUAACGGCUCACCUAGGCGACGAUCCCUAGCUGGUCUGAGAGGAUGACCAGCCACACUGGAACUGAGACACGGUCCAGACUCCUACGGGAGGCAGCAGUGGGGAAUAUUGCACAAUGGGCGCAAGCCUGAUGCAGCCAUGCCGCGUGUAUGAAGAAGGCCUUCGGGUUGUAAAGUACUUUCAGCGGGGAGGAAGGGAGUAAAGUUAAUACCUUUGCUCAUUGACGUUACCCGCAGAAGAAGCACCGGCUAACUCCGUGCCAGCAGCCGCGGUAAUACGGAGGGUGCAAGCGUUAAUCGGAAUUACUGGGCGUAAAGCGCACGCAGGCGGUUUGUUAAGUCAGAUGUGAAAUCCCCGGGCUCAACCUGGGAACUGCAUCUGAUACUGGCAAGCUUGAGUCUCGUAGAGGGGGGUAGAAUUCCAGGUGUAGCGGUGAAAUGCGUAGAGAUCUGGAGGAAUACCGGUGGCGAAGGCGGCCCCCUGGACGAAGACUGACGCUCAGGUGCGAAAGCGUGGGGAGCAAACAGGAUUAGAUACCCUGGUAGUCCACGCCGUAAACGAUGUCGACUUGGAGGUUGUGCCCUUGAGGCGUGGCUUCCGGAGCUAACGCGUUAAGUCGACCGCCUGGGGAGUACGGCCGCAAGGUUAAAACUCAAAUGAAUUGACGGGGGCCCGCACAAGCGGUGGAGCAUGUGGUUUAAUUCGAUGCAACGCGAAGAACCUUACCUGGUCUUGACAUCCACGGAAGUUUUCAGAGAUGAGAAUGUGCCUUCGGGAACCGUGAGACAGGUGCUGCAUGGCUGUCGUCAGCUCGUGUUGUGAAAUGUUGGGUUAAGUCCCGCAACGAGCGCAACCCUUAUCCUUUGUUGCCAGCGGUCCGGCCGGGAACUCAAAGGAGACUGCCAGUGAUAAACUGGAGGAAGGUGGGGAUGACGUCAAGUCAUCAUGCCCCUUACGACCAGGGCUACACACGUGCUACAAUGGCGCAUACAAAGAGAAGCGACCUCGCGAGAGCAAGCGGACCUCAUAAAGUGCGUCGUAGUCCGGAUUGGAGUCUGCAACUCGACUCCAUGAAGUCGGAAUCGCUAGUAAUCGUGGAUCAGAAUGCCACGGUGAAUACGUUCCCGGGCCUUGUACACACCGCCCGUCACACCAUGGGAGUGGGUUGCAAAAGAAGUAGGUAGCUUAACCUUCGGGAGGGCGCUUACCACUUUGUGAUUCAUGACUGGGGUGAAGUCGGAACAAGGUAACCGUAGGGGAA